GGGAGGAAAAAAAGAAGGGAGAUAAAGAGGAAGAAUGGAGAGAAAAAAAAAAAAGCCACGUCGGAGGAAAGUAAAAUUUAAGCAUCAUUCUUCCUCCAUCUCCCUCUGUCCCUCGCUCUCACUUUCCUCCUCUCCUUCCCUCCCUCCCGCUUUCCUCCCUCGGCCAUUCUCCCGCACCUCGGCGCCGCCCAAACACACCUGUCCAGCAUGUCUCUCGUGAGUUACCUGAGGCGGCGGGUGUUUGGGAAAUCUGCUUUUCUAAUCAAGCGCAUACUCCUGCCCGCCGCUGUUGUGUUUCUUCUGAUGCAAGUGUUGUUGAGCGGGGGACCUCAGCAGCGGCAGCAAGACCCAGACCCAGACCUCUCCAACCUUAUCAUACCAGGCGAGGCUCUGGACCCAGCGUUGGAGAGGAAGGUGGGGCGUGGUCCAACGACCCACCACAACGCCCUCCACACCACCUCCACCUCCACCACAACACCCCCCGUCCCCUCCCCCUCACGCGUCAAGAAGAAGAAGGAGGAGGAGGAGGAGGUAGAGAAGAAGAAGGUAGAAAGGCAGAAGAAGCAUGGGAAAGAUGAUGACAGUGACAGACAAGGCCAACAACAACAACAACAACAACAACAACAAGAGGAGCCUUCCCCGUGGUCAAUGGCAACAGCAAACAUCACCGACAGCCAUAAGGUGAAGUACAAAGGUCACGCCAUCACGGAGAAGACGGUGACCUUGACCCUCAUGUCCAGCCAAGACAAAGUGUUCAUGUCCCUCAACAAGCGGGAGAUCUACCGCAACCUAGGGGACCGCGGGAUUCACCUGGUGGUCCUCAAUCAGUACACGGGACAGGUGAUGGCCCGGCAGGUGUUUGAUACCUUCGCCGUGGGCCUGGAGGAAGAGAUGGUAGAGUUUAUCGAAGACCUGUCCGACGGAAGGAUACUGGUGUUUGCCGUGUUGGACGAGGCCAGCAGCAACCUAUCCUGGCGGGGGAGGAACCGCCUGAAGGAGCUCGGGUCGCGGUGGGCGGACAAGCUCGCCUACAGGGACAUGUGGGCGCUGGUCACACGCAAGGGGGGACUCAAGAUGGCCGAGACCUUCUCCAACGUGGCCACGGCCGACACGGGCUACGAGUGGGGCGGGCCGGUGUUCCUUCGUACUGACUUUGAUCUCUUGGAAGGGAAAGGAGAGUGUGACUGGCCGGUGAACGAACGGAACGAGGCCCGCCGUGUGUUCUGCCAGCGCUUCGAAGGAUACGGCGCCCUCUGUGACUGUGGCGUGAGCAGCUGGCAUGAUUUGUUCUUCCAUGCGGGCGACGAGGUACACAAAGAGCUAUCACGGACGCCUCUGUACAAGGACUUGGGCGUCGUGAUCCUGGCCACGGACAGACCACACUACUUGUACAGGACGUUGAAGAGCUUGUGGGAGGCGCCUGGGCUGAACAGGGAGAAGGUGGCUGUGUACGGCGACGGGCGGCAGCGGGAGGUGCUGGCCGUGGCGAGGCUGUUCGGGGUGUACCUGGUGGAGGCGCCGCCGCUCGGGAACACCACCAAGGAGCACAUCAGACACAAGGUGCAGCGUGUGUUCAGAGACGUGGCAGGUGUCAAGUUUCCCCCCGAGAGCGUACCUGCGGGGAACCUACCUGAAGACACCCUGCCCCCCUUCUCCUGCUCCCACCUGCUGCUGCUGGAGGACGACCUGCAGGUGGCCGUCGAUAUCUUCAAGUACAUAUACAGUGUGGCGCCAGUGUUAGAGAGGGACCCCAGCAUCUUCGCCGUCUCCUCCUUCAAUUACUACGGGCAUGCGGACGUUGCCAACUCCCACACCACCGUCUACCGCACCGCCGAACUCAACCCCCUGGCCCUCUUGUUCCCAGUUCGAGCCCUCCACCAACUCGCCUCCAACUGGCCUACUUCUGAUGAUACCUCCGAGUGGUACCGAUCCCUGCGCGUUGCUAUGCGGGGGGUGGAGGGAGGGGCGCUGCUCUACCCUGAGGUGCCACGCGCGCGUCACCUGGGCUACCGCGGCUCGCUGAUACGCGGCUCCGUGCAGCACAACUACUUCAGGGACCACAUCCUCUCCCUCACCACCGACUACCACCUGGCGGAGUCCGAGGUCCUCAUGCUCGCGGCGGAACCCUACGAGGCGCGGCUUGAGAAGACGUUGAAAGAGGCAGACACGAUCAACUUCGACUUCUGCAAACACGACCUUCUCUACGGCAAGAACCCGCUGAAGAUCUUCGUCUCUUACAACGGGAGCCGAAGUGACGAGACCAACAUGAACUACGUGAUGAAUUGUCUCCGAACCUUCGACGUGUACCCCGAGGCCGGGUGGCACGGGGUCUGGCAGUUUCAUUACCACGGGCACUGGCUUAGCAUUGUGGGCACACCGACGUCUAAAUACAGUUACCUGAUACCUGCUGACCACGCCCCCGUCACCGCCCCGCCCACCACCACCACCACCACUACUGACUCCUCUUCCUCCUCCUCCUCCUCCUCCUCCUCUGCCCAACCCUCCUCUUAGCUAUCCUCCACUUCUUACUUUUUCACCAGUGUUGCCGGAUUGUCGUACUCAGCUUCUCAUUUUUCAUAAUUUCAAGCUAAAAAAUGUCCCACCCCAAAAACUAACGAUAUCUAUUUAUAUUUAUUGCUAAUAGUGUUAAUUAUAGAGUGUUUUGUACAGUCAUUAUGCGUUAGAAAUGGGAAAAUCUAGUUUGGUGAGUGCGAUAUCGUGGCAUCCCUAUUUUCACUAUCAAUUACUAAACGUGGAGGUACAAUCUUGGGUAACGAUGCCUCCUCCUCCUCCUCCUCCUCCUCCUCCUUCGCCUCCUCCUCUGCUAAACCUUCCUCUUAGCUAUCUUUCACCGUCUCCCUUUUCACCAUCAACUGCUAAACGCGGAGGUAGAAUCUUGGGUAGUGAUGAUGAAAAGUGGGAAAGAAAAUAAGAAGUAAAAAAAAAGGGAAAAAAUAUGAAUAGGUAAGAUUAGAUGACAUGAACCUAUUAUAUGUUUCCAAAUAAGGUAGAACAGAGAAAUGGAUUGAGAGUAGCCUAAAACAAAGCUAGAUAGAUGGGAAAGAGAGAAAAUAAUGGUAGCUGUCAACUCUUUUUAUUUCUCGAGGUAAAGAGACGGAUCAAGCACUUAAAUAGAAUGAAAUAAAACCAUAAGAACCUAUACGUAAGAAACAAGCUACAGGAUAAAAAAUAAUUGAAAGGAUAAAAGAAAACGGAGCCACAACCUAACAAUUUUAACGUCCUGAUGCUUCAAACGUCGAUUAGUCUUUAAUAACAAUAGUGUGGCUGAAUAGUCUUUUGAGGACCCGUUUUUUGAAGGCUAGAUAGUUGGUGUUGUUGAGUUUUUAGUAUGAUUUCUUACGACUGAGUUUGUGUUACGUAAGAGGUGGUGGAAGAGCGGCUUAUCUUUAACGCCUCAUGCCUCAAACGCCGUAUAAGUCUUCAAUAACAAUAGUGAGGCUGAUUAGUCUUUUGAGGACCCGCUUUUGAAGGCGUAGUUAGUUGGUUUUGUUGAGUUCUUAUAUAACUUCUUACGAUUGAGUUUGUAUUACGUCAACUUACUUUGUGGUAACCCAACACUUCUAACUAAUCUCAUCCCUAAAGUGGAAUUAAAAAAGCCAAACUAGCCUCAUAACUUAAACAAAUACUACUAAUACGACGCUUACAAAAUCUGACAUUACUUUACUGGGAGUUCAUAACGGUGUGGUGUGUUUGCUCUGUUCACGUUAACUCGGCACUUAGCCCACGCCCACAUCAGCCCAGUUUUCACUAAGAGGAGCUAACCUUUCCCAGCGUCCACCAAUCACAUGCAGCGUGAGUUAGAGAGGGGGCGUGGCCUUGUGUGUGGACGGGCCAGUGAUAUGCAUUUUAUAGGGAUUGGGGAGGAGCUUUUUUUCAGGGUAAAGUGAAGAGUUGCCUUUGACUGGGGUAUGGUGAAAGGGGUAGGAGCUUUUCUGUCAAGGUUAAGUGAAUAGUUACCUUUGAUUGGGGUAG